rnacentral:lncRNA from 1 species
CAGAGUCUGGGCUACAUUUUGACCCGCUCCCUAUGGCAGUGACUUCUAUCCUUGGCUAAGACCAUAAAAGUGUCCACGGAUCAGAAAGCUUGAGAACUACUAUAUUAGAUCAAAGUAAAAUAAAGCCUCUUGUGGGAAACAAGAAACUUUUUGAGUAGGCUUUUGGAUAAGCAGGAUGGAAUGUAUCAACCUGCUUCUAAAACAAAUAAACACACCAUGAGAAG